rnacentral:rRNA from 1 species
UGGGGAAUCUUGGACAAUGGGGGCAACCCUGAUCCAGCCAUGCCGCGUGAGUGAUGAAGGCCUUAGGGUCGUAAAGCUCUUUCGCCUGUGAAGAUAAUGACGGUAGCAGGUAAAGAAACCCCGGCUAACUCCGUGCCAGCAGCCGCGGUAAUACGGAGGGGGUUAGCGUUGUUCGGAAUUACUGGGCGUAAAGCGCACGUAGGCGGACCAGAAAGUUGGGGGUGAAAUCCCGGGGGCUCAACCCCGGAACUGCCUCCAAAACUAUUGGUCUAGAGUUCGAGAGAGGUGAGUGGAAUUCCAAGUGUAGAGGUGAAAUUCGUAGAUAUUUGGAGGAACACCAGUGGCGAAGGCGGCUCACUGGCUCGAUACUGACGCUGAGGUGCGAAAAGUGUGGGGAGCAAAACAGGAUUAGAUACCCCUGGUAGUCCCACACCGUAAAACGAUGAAAUGCCCAGUCGUCGGGGUAGCAUGCUAUUCGGUGACACACCUAACGGAUU